rnacentral:rRNA from 1 species
UACGAAGGGGGCUAGCGUUGUUCGGAAUCACUGGGCGUAAAGGGCGCGUAGGCGGCUUUUCAAGUCGGGGGUGAAAGCCCGAGGCUCAACCUCGGAACUGCCUUCGAUACUGCGGGUCUCGAGUCCGGGAGAGGUGAGUGGAAUUCCUAGUGUAGAGGUGAAAUUCGAUAGAUAUUAGGAAGAACACCAGUGGCGAAGGCGGCUCACUGGCCCGGUACUGACGCUGAGGCGCGAAAGCGUGGGGAGCAAACAGGG